rnacentral:rRNA from 1 species
UGAGUCCUUUUAGGACAAAGGGAGAAUCGCUGAUACCGUCGUGCCAAGAAAAGCCUCUAAGCAUAUCCAUAGUCGUCCGUACCGCAAACCGACACAGGUAGAUGAGAUGAGUAUUCUAAGGCGCGUGAAAGAACUCUGGUUAAGGAACUCUGCAAACUAGCACCGUAAGUUCGCGAUAAGGUGUGCCGCAGCAAUGCGGUCUCAGCAAAGAGUCCCUCCCGACUGUUUACCAAAAACACAGCACUUUGCCAACUCGUAAGAGGAAGUAUAAGGUGUGACGCCUGCCCGGUGCUCGAAGGUUAAGAGGAUGCGUCAGUCGCAAGAUGAAGCGUUGAAUUGAAGCCCGAGUAAACGGCGGCCGUAACUAUAACGGUCCUAAGGUAGCGAAAUUCCUUGUCGGUUAAAUACCGACCUGCAUGAAUGGCGUAACGAGAUGGGAGCUGUCUCAACCAGAGAUUCAGUGAAAUUGUAGUGGAGGUGAAAAUUCCUCCUACCCGCGGCAAGACGGAGAGACCCCGUGGACCUUUACUACAACUUAGCACUGCUAAUGGGAAUAUCAUGCGCAGGAUAGGUGGGAGGCUUUGAAGUAAGGGCUUUG